UACGAAGGGGACUAGCGUUGUUCGGAAUCACUGGGCGUAAAGCGCACGUAGGCGGAUGUGUCAGUCAGGGGUGAAAUCCCGGGGCUCAACCUCGGAACUGCCUUUGAUACAGCACGUCUCGAGUCCGGAAGAGGUGGGUGGAAUUCCUAGUGUAGAGGUGAAAUUCGUAGAUAUUGGGAAGAACACCGGUGGCGAAGGCGGCCAACUGGACCACAACUGACGCUGAGGCGCGAAAGCGUGGGGAGCAAACAGG
rnacentral:rRNA from 1 species